rnacentral:rRNA from 1 species
AAAUUGAAGAGUUUGAUCAUGGCUCAGAUUGAACGCUGGCGGCAGGCCUAACACAUGCAAGUCGAACGGUAACAGGAAUCAGCUUGCUGAUUCGCUGACGAGUGGCGGACGGGUGAGUAAUGUCUGGGAAACUGCCUGAUGGAGGGGGAUAACUACUGGAAACGGUAGCUAAUACCGCAUAAUGUCGCAAGACCAAAGAGGGGGACCUUCGGGCCUCUUACCAUCGGAUGUGCCCAGAUGGGAUUAGCUAGUAGGUGGGGUAACGGCUCACCUAGGCGACGAUCUCUAGCUGGUCUGAGAGGAUGACCAGCCACACUGGAACUGAGACACGGUCCAGACUCCUACGGGAGGCAGCAGUGGGGAAUAUUGCACAAUGGGCGCAAGCCUGAUGCAGCCAUGCCGCGUGUAUGAAGAAGGCCUUCGGGUUGUAAAGUACUUUCAGCGGGGAGGAAGGGAGUAAAGUUAAUACCUUU